GACAGAGGUGCCAAGCGUUAGGCGGAAUCACUGGGCUUAAAGCGUGUGUAGGCGGAUGCCUAAGUACCUUGUGAAAUCCCCCGGCUCAACCGGGGAAUUGCUGGGCAUACUGGUGGUCUUGAGCGAUCUAGGGGCAGAUGGAACAAGUGGUGGAGCGGUGAAAUGCGUAGAUAUCACUUGGAACGCCAAAGGUGAAGACAGUCUGCUGGGGAUCUGCUGACGCUGAGACACGAAAGCCAGGGGAGCGAACGGG
rnacentral:rRNA from 1 species